rnacentral:rRNA from 1 species
UACGGAGGGGGCUAGCGUUGUUCGGAAUGACUGGGCGUAAAGCGCGCGUAGGCGGAUCGGAUAGUUGGGGGUGAAAGCCCAGGGCUCAACCCUGGAAUGGCCUUCAAAACUCCCGAUCUAGAGUUCGAGAGAAGUGAGUGGAAUUCCGAGUGUAGAGGUGAAAUUCGUAGAUAUUCGGAGGAACACCAGUGGCGAAGGCGGCUCACUGGCUCGACACUGACGCUGAGGUGCGAAAGCGUGGGGAGCAAACAGG